rnacentral:rRNA from 1 species
GACGAACGCUGGCGGCGUGCUUAACACAUGCAAGUCGAACGCGCCUGUCCUCUGGGUUUCUGGGGGGUGGGUGAGUGGCGAACGGGUGAGUAACACGUGAGUAACCUGCCCCCUUCUUCGGGAUAACGGUCUGAAAGGGCUGCUCAUACCGGGUAUUCACUGGUCUCCGCAUGGGGUCUGGUGGAAAGGUUUUUUUCUGGUGGGGGAUGGGCUCGCGGCCUAUCAGCUUGUUGGUGGGGUGAUGGCCCACCAAGGCUUUGACGGGUAGCCGGCCUGAGAGGGUGACCGGUCACAUUGGGACUGAGAUACGGCCCAGACUCCUACGGGAGGCAGCAGUGGGGAAGAUUGCACAAUGGGCGCAAGCCUGAUGCAGCGACGCCGCGUGAGGGAUGGAGGCCUUCGGGUUGUGAACCUCUUUCGCCCGUGGUCAAGCCGCGACGUGGGUCGUGGUGAGGGUAGUGGGUAAAGAAGCGCCGGCUAACUACGUG